rfam:Triticum aestivum genome assembly, contig: Triticum_aestivum_CS42_TGACv1_scaffold_514811_6BS
UUAGUACUUCCUCCGUCCAAAAAUACUUGUCAUCAAAAUGGACAAAAAAUGAUGUAUCUACAACUAAAAUACAUCUAAAUACAUCCCCUUUUAUUCAUUUUGAUGAAAAAUAUUUUCGGACGGAGGGAGUAUAAA